rnacentral:misc_RNA from 1 species
GAAAAGAAACUAUACGAGAGCUUUACAAAAUAUACAAGGUGGCUGUACAAGGUUGGUUGCUAAGUGGAUUCUCUAAGUGUUCCAAAUGAAGUCCCUAAUCUCCUAUUUAUACCUAAGCCACCUCCUUAAACAUGUGGCUGAAAUGGUGCCUCAAAUAUGUGGUUAAAAAUUUACCUAAAAUGGAUGGUGGAGAUCUCUCCUAAUCCACCUUCUUAAAAUGAAUGGCUAGGAUUACAUUAUCUAGAAUUAUCCCCCCAAAAAUAUCUUACUU